GUUGUGAGGUUAAGCGACUAAGCGUACACGGUGGAUGCCCUGGCAGUCAGAGGCGAUGAAGGGCGUGCUAAUCUGCGAUAAGCGCCGGUAAGGUGAUAUGAACCGUUAUAACCGGCGAUACCCGAAUGGGGAAACCCAGUGUGACUCGUCACACUAUCAUUAACUGAAUCCAUAGGUUAAUGAGGCGAACCGGGGGAACUGAAACAUCUAAGUACCCCGAGGAAAAGAAAUCAACCGAGAUUCCCCCAGUAGCGGCGAGCGAACGGGGAGGAGCCCAGAGCCUGAAUCAGCAUGUGUGUUAGUGGAAGCGUCUGGAAAGGCGCGCGAUACAGGGUGACAGCCCCGUACACAAAAGCGCAUGUGCUGUGAGCUCGAUGAGUAGGGCGGGACACGUGGUAUCCUGUCUGAAUAUGGGGGGACCAUCCUCCAAGGCUAAAUACUCCUGACUGACCGAUAGUGAACCAGUACCGUGAGGGAAAGGCGAAAAGAACCCCGGCGAGGGGAGUGAAAAAGAACCUGAAACCGUGUACGUACAAGCAGUGGGAGCACAGGUUUACCUGUGUGACUGCGUACCUUUUGUAUAAUGGGUCAGCGACUUAUAUUCUGUAGCAAGGUUAACCGUAUAGGGGAGCCGUAGGGAAACCGAGUCUUAACCGGGCGUUAAGUUGCAGGGUAUAGACCCGAAACCCGGUGAUCUAGCCAUGGGCAGGUUGAAGGUUGGGUAACACUAACUGGAGGACCGAACCGACUAAUGUUGAAAAAUUAGCGGAUGACCUGUGGCUGGGGGUGAAAGGCCAAUCAAACCGGGAGAUAGCUGGUUCUCCCCGAAAGCUAUUUAGGUAGCGCCUCGUGAAUUCAUCUCCGGGGGUAGAGCACUGUUUCGGCUAGGGGGCCAUCCCGGCUUACCAACCCGAUGCAAACUGCGAAUACCGGAGAAUGUUAUCACGGGAGACACACGGCGGGUGCUAACGUCCGUCGUGAAGAGGGAAACAACCCAGACCGCCAGCUAAGGUCCCAAAGUCAUGGUUAAGUGGGAAACGAUGUGGGAAGGCCCAGACAGCCAGGAUGUUGGCUUAGAAGCAGCCAUCAUUUAAAGAAAGCGUAAUAGCUCACUGGUCGAGUCGGCCUGCGCGGAAGAUGUAACGGGGCUAAACCAUGCACCGAAGCUGCGGCAGCGACGCUGAUGCGUUGUUGGGUAGGGGAGCGUUCUGUAAGCCUGUGAAGGUGGCCUGUGAGGGUUGCUGGAGGUAUCAGAAGUGCGAAUGCUGACAUAAGUAACGAUAAAGCGGGUGAAAAGCCCGCUCGCCGGAAGACCAAGGGUUCCUGUCCAACGUUAAUCGGGGCAGGGUGAGUCGACCCCUAAGGCGAGGCCGAAAGGCGUAGUCGAUGGGAAACGGGUUAAUAUUCCCGUACUUGGUGUUACUGCGAAGGGGGGACGGAGAAGGCUAUGUUGGCCGGGCGACGGUUGUCCCGGUUUAAGCGUGUAGGUGUGUGUUCCAGGUAAAUCCGGUUCACUUUAACACUGAGGCGUGAUGACGAGGCACUACGGUGCUGAAGCAACAAAUGCCCUGCUUCCAGGAAAAGCCUCUAAGCAUCAGGUAACAUCAAAUCGUACCCCAAACCGACACAGGUGGUCAGGUAGAGAAUACCAAGGCGCUUGAGAGAACUCGGGUGAAGGAACUAGGCAAAAUGGUGCCGUAACUUCGGGAGAAGGCACGCUGACACGUAGGUGAAGUGAUUUACUCAUGGAGCUGAAGUCAGUCGAAGAUACCAGCUGGCUGCAACUGUUUAUUAAAAACACAGCACUGUGCAAACACGAAAGUGGACGUAUACGGUGUGACGCCUGCCCGGUGCCGGAAGGUUAAUUGAUGGGGUCAGCGCAAGCGAAGCUCCUGAUCGAAGCCCCGGUAAACGGCGGCCGUAACUAUAACGGUCCUAAGGUAGCGAAAUUCCUUGUCGGGUAAGUUCCGACCUGCACGAAUGGCGUAAUGAUGGCCAGGCUGUCUCCACCCGAGACUCAGUGAAAUUGAACUCGCUGUGAAGAUGCAGUGUACCCGCGGCAAGACGGAAAGACCCCGUGAACCUUUACUAUAGCUUGACACUGAACAUUGAGCCUUGAUGUGUAGGAUAGGUGGGAGGCUUUGAAGCGUGGACGCCAGUCUGCAUGGAGCCGGCCUUGAAAUACCACCCUUUAAUGUUUGAUGUUCUAACGUGGACCCGUGAUCCGGGUUGCGGACAGUGUCUGGUGGGUAGUUUGACUGGGGCGGUCUCCUCCUAAAGAGUAACGGAGGAGCACGAAGGUUGGCUAAUCCUGGUCGGACAUCAGGAGGUUAGUGCAAUGGCAUAAGCCAGCUUGACUGCGAGCGUGACGGCGCGAGCAGGUGCGAAAGCAGGUCAUAGUGAUCCGGUGGUUCUGAAUGGAAGGGCCAUCGCUCAACGGAUAAAAGGUACUCCGGGGAUAACAGGCUGAUACCGCCCAAGAGUUCAUAUCGACGGCGGUGUUUGGCACCUCGAUGUCGGCUCAUCACAUCCUGGGGCUGAAGUAGGUCCCAAGGGUAUGGCUGUUCGCCAUUUAAAGUGGUACGCGAGCUGGGUUUAGAACGUCGUGAGACAGUUCGGUCCCUAUCUGCCGUGGGCGCUGGAGAACUGAGGGGGGCUGCUCCUAGUACGAGAGGACCGGAGUGGACGCAUCACUGGUGUUCGGGUUGUCAUGCCAAUGGCACUGCCCGGUAGCUAAAUGCGGAAGAGAUAAGUGCUGAAAGCAUCUAAGCACGAAACUUGCCCCGAGAUGAGUUCUCCCUGAGACUUAGAGUCUCCUGAAGGAACGUUGAAGACGACGACGUUGAUAGGCCGGGUGUGUAAGCGCAGCGAUGCGUUGAGCUAACCGGUACUAAUGAACCGUGAGGCUUAACCUUACAACGCCGAAG
rnacentral:rRNA from 1 species